rnacentral:rRNA from 1 species
UACAGAGGUCUCAAGCGUUGUUCGGAUUCAUUGGGCGUAAAGGGUGCGUAGGCGGCAAGGCAAGUCAGGUGUGAAAUCCCGGAGCUCAACUCCGGAACUGCACUUGAUACUGCCCUGCUAGAGUACUGGAGAGGAGACUGGAAUUUACGGUGUAGCAGUGAAAUGCGUAGAUAUCGUAAGGAAGACCAGUGGCGAAGGCGAGUCUCUGGACAGUUACUGACGCUGAGGCACGAAGGCCAGGGGAGCAAACGGG